AUACGUAGGUGGCAAGCGUUGUCCGGAAUUAUUGGGUGUAAAGCGCAUGUAGGCGGUUUGGUAAGUCGGUCGUGAAAAUGCGGUGCUUAACGUCGUAUUGCGAUCGAAACUGCUGAACUUGAGUGCAGGAGAGGAAAGGGGAACUCCCAGUGUAGCGGUGCAAUGCGUAGAUAUUGGGAAGAACACCGGUGGCGAAGGCGCCUUUCUGGACUGUGUCUGACGCUCAGAUGCGAAAGCCAGGGUAGCGAACGGGAUUAGAUACCCCGGUAGUCCUGGCCGUAAACGAUGGGUACUAGGUGUGGGAGGUAUCGACUCCUUCCGUGCCGGAGUUAACGCAAUAAGUACCCCGCCUGGGGAGUACGGCCGCAAGGCUUAAACUCAAAUGAAUUGACGGGG
rnacentral:rRNA from 1 species